rnacentral:tRNA from 1 species
ACUGGGAUUGCUCAGUUGGCAGAGCACAGGACUCUUAAUCUCAGGGUUGUGGGUUUGAGCCCCAUGUUGGGUG